rnacentral:rRNA from 1 species
GGGACGGCUAACUCUGUGCCAGCAGCCGCGGUAAUACAGAGGUCCCAAGCGUUGUUCGGAUUCACUGGGCGUAAAGGGUGCGUAGGUGGUGAGGUAAGUCGGAUGUGAAAGCUCCGAGCUCAACUCGGAAAUGGCAUUGGAAACUACCUUGCUAGAGGGUUUGAGGGGGGACUGGAAUACUUGGUGUAGCAGUGAAAUGCGUAGAUAUCAAGUGGAACACCAGUGGCGAAGGCGAGUCCCUGGAAAACUCCUGACACUGAGGCACGAAAGCUAGGGGAGCAAACAGGAUUAGAUACCCUGGUAGUCCUAGCCGUAAACGGUGCGUAUUUGCUGUAAAAGGAAUCGACCCCUUUUGUGGCGUAGCCAACGCGUUAAAUACGCCGCCUGGGAAGUACGGUCGCAAGAUUAAAACUCAAAGAAAUUGACGGGGGCCUGCACAAGCGGUGGAGUAUGUGGCUUAAUUCGAUGCAACGCGAAGAACCUUACCUGGCCUUGACAUGCAAGUAGUAGAACCAUGAAAGUGGGACGAGCCCGCAAGGGCAGCUUACACAGGUGCUGCAUGGCUGUCGUCGGCUCGGUCGGAA